rnacentral:rRNA from 1 species
GUAAGGAAUAUUGGUCAAUGGGCGGAAGCCUGAACCAGCCAUGCCGCGUGCAGGAAGACGGCCCUACGGGUUGUAAACUGCUUUUGUACCGGAAUAAACCUACUUACGUGUAAGUAGCUGAAUGUACGGUAAGAAUAAGGAUCGGCUAACUCCGUGCCAGCAGCCGCGGUAAUACGGAGGAUCCAAGCGUUAUCCGGAUUUAUUGGGUUUAAAGGGUGCGUAGGCGGCUUAUUAAGUCAGGGGUGAAAGACGGUAGCUCAACUAUCGCAGUGCCCUUGAUACUGAUGAGCUUGAAUGUACUUGAAGUAGGCGGAAUGUGACAAGUAGCGGUGAAAUGCAUAGAUAUGUCACAGAACACCGAUUGCGAAGGCAGCUUACUAAAGUAUGAUUGACGCUGAGGCACGAAAGCGUGGGGAUCAAACAGG